GGCAUUCAGAGCUAAAGUGGAUCAAGUCCAAAAUUUAAAAAAAUGGGUUUAGUAUACAAUAAUACCCAAUAAAAGUGUAUCUUUUUAGUGCCACAGUAAAUCAAGUCCCUACUGCCGUAGUUUGCCAACAGAAGCCAGUAGUUUUCUUUGGUUCUGAAAAAAAUUAAUAAAAUUUCAGAGCCAAAGUGGACCAAGUCCAAACUCAUUAGAAUCGUAGCAUGUGGUGUUUGUUUGUGUACUUGUUUACGUGUGUUCCUGUGUAAAAAGUGACUAUAAUGGAUUCAGAUACAUCAUUUAUAUACUUUUCUGAUUCAUCCUCUGAUUAUGAACCCCUAGAAAAAGAAUAUUCGACGUCAGAAUCUGAAGAUAACUCUCACUCAAACCAGAGGGAACCAGUGACAGCUUCUGAACCUCUUCCUGGACCAAGUAGACAAAAUCAUGAAGGCGACCCUGCAAAGAAGGAGAGAGGUAGAAAGCGAACAAAAAAUGAAAACGCUUGGAAAAAAAGAAAAAGACAACAACUAAGAAAUAGUGGACUCGCCUAUAACUCAGUAAAAGGCAAAGCAAUAGCAAAAAAAAACUUUAAAAACUCACCCUGCAUUGCAAAAAAAGAUGUAAUGAGAAAUUCACAGAGGAACAGAGGAAGUGCAUAUUCGAAUCAUUUUGGAAGUUAGGGGACUUCAGCAAACAAAAUGUAUAUAUCAGGAGUUUUGAGUGAAAGAGUGAAGCGUAAGCGAAUACGAGAUGGAAGUGCUAGUGAAAAAGGUGUCUGCUACAGUUAUGUUUUAAGAGACAGUGCAAAUUCUCAAAUAGUGUGCAAGAAAUAUUUUUUGGAAACUCUUCAGCUUAGUCAUGGAAGAGUUUACAGGUGCAUUUCAAAACCUGAAGUUCACGCCGUUAUCGAUUCACGCGGGAAAGGAGUUCCAAAGAAUAAACUUGAUGAUACCCAUAUAGUAGCACAUAUCAACUAUUUUCCUGCCUAUCAGAGCCAUUACAGCAGAAAAAAAAAUUCGGAAAGGAAAUAUCUUCAUCCUGAUUUAAAUAUAAGAAAAUUAUAUGACUGUUGAGAAAUGCAAUAGCGAAGGGAAGCAAGCUUUGAAACAAACGUUUUACUAUCACGUUUUUUCUACUAAAUUUAACUUAGAUUUCAAAGUUCCUGCAAAAGAUACCUGCAGUAGAUGUGAUGAAUUUCAAUUGAAGAUAGAAGCUUCUAACUGAUGAUCCGGAACGGAGUAGUCAAUUUGAACUUGAAAAGAAAUUGCACUUGGCUAAAGCCCUACAAGCCAGAGAGUCUCUUAAAACUUAUAAAGCCUCUGCAUCAAAUACCUGUUAUGUUGCAACAUUCGAUCUUCAAAAGGCUCUCCCAUAUCCAAAAUUAACUACAUCAAUAGCAUACUAUAAGCGGAAUAUGUAUGUAUACAAUUUUGGAAUCCAUUCUUUCAACAAAAAUAAUGGAUACAUGCACUUAUGGGACGAGACAGAAGGAGGGAGAGGAUCACAAGAGGUAGCGUCUAUGCUUGCAAAACAUAUUCUUGGCCAUACUCGGAUUUGUGUACUGGCCAAAAUCGAAAUAUUAAAGUGGCCUCUACAUUGUUGACCUUGGUCCUAGAUCCCCAGUUAAGCAUUAAAACAAUCGAUCAUAAAUUUUUGGUUUCUGGUCACUCAUUUCUUCCUAAUGAUCAAGAUUUUGGAGUAAUUGAAUCAGCGUCACGAAAGUGUAUCCAAAUUUUUACACCUGAGGACUGGCUACAAGUUGUCAAAGAAGCCUUUUGUGGUUAUCAAAGUAAAUACAUCCAAUAUUUUAACAACUAAAAACCUUGAACAAAUGUUAGUUAAUAAGAAGAAAACUGACGCAGGUGGUCCCGUAAAAUGGCUAGAAAUGAGGUGGAUGAGGUAUGAGCGGGAGAAACCUUGGACACUGCAGUUCAAAAAUACUCUAAAUCCAGAUGUUGCUUUCCCAAAAGUAACCAUGUCGACGAAAAAUUCUAAAUUUAGUGAGACCCAAGAUCCGUUAUAAAAAACUGCCAGAGUGGUCACCGAGGCAAAGAAAAAAGAUAUGUUGUCCCUUUUACCAUUUCUUCCACCCAAUACCCAUGCACAUUUUAAAAACCUACAAACAGAGAAACAAACUAGAUCACAAACUGCUUUGAAUGAGGAAAAUAUUGCAGAAUCAGAUGAUGAUGAACCUAUAUAUUAUCUUCAAUGAAGUCUGAUUAAACUUUCAGUGAUAUUUUUAUAUGCUGGCUAAAAAGUAAUAAUACAUUUGAUUUUUCAUUGU
rnacentral:lncRNA from 1 species